rnacentral:miRNA from 1 species
AGUCUGGUUGCUGGCUAUAUUCCA